rnacentral:rRNA from 1 species
GACGAACGCUGGCGGCGUGCUUAACACAUGCAAGUCGAACGGAAAGGCCCUGCUUUUGUGGGGUGCUCGAGUGGCGAACGGGUGAGUAACACGUGAGUAACCUGCCCUUGACUUUGGGAUAACUUCAGGAAACUGGGGCUAAUACCGGAUAGGAGCUCCUGCUGCAUGGUGGGGGUUGGAAAGUUUCGGCGGUUGGGGAUGGACUCGCGGCUUAUCAGCUUGUUGGUGGGGUAGUGGCUUACCAAGGCUUUGACGGGUAGCCGGCCUGAGAGGGUGACCGGCCACAUUGGGACUGGGGUACGGCCCAGACUGCUACGGGAGGCAGCAGUGGGGAAUAUUGCACAAUGGGCGGAAGCCUGAUGCAGCAACGCCGCGUGCGGGAUGACGGCCUUCGGGUUGUAAACCGCUUUCGCCUGUGACGAAGCGUGAGUGACGGUAAUGGGUAAAGAAGCACCGGCUAACUACGUG